UCUACAAUGAUGUCAGUGAAAUUCGCUUAUGUGCCUUGUCUAUGGCAUCUGAUAGUGAUUCCAGACGUUUCAGCACCCAGGCAACAGCACUUGGACAGCAGUGAAUUGCUGAAAGGAAAAAUAGUCAGUUGCAGGCAACAGCAAAUAAUGGUCAUGAAGAUGACAAAGCCUCUUCACACUACCUGUCUCGCAACAAAAGCCUGUUUGUGCUCAUUUGAUCCUCAUUCCUUGGCAUAUAAUUAAAUUGGUAGGCAGGAAGAUGUCCCCUCCGUUUUCAUUUUCACUUGACUUGAACACCUUGUUUGGAUUAGCAAAGGUACUUCACCAAAAGGGGAAGGAGAUAAUUAACUUGCAAGAACAUUUGGUGCAGAAGUAGUUGAUUGAUGAUUCUGGAUCUGAAAAAUAUGGGAUGAAAAUAUUUGGGGAGGAAAAACAAUAUCCCACAUUCAUCACUCUUUCUUCUGAAUAGGCCUACUUGGGCUGAAGAAAGAAGUCCCUUUUGUUGACUAAAUAUUGCUGUCUACUGUUAUACCUCUAGGUAUCACCUUUUGCAGAGAAGAAUAACAGCAAAGUUUAACAUUCAUUGGACAGUAAGACAUGACUACUUUCUUCUUCUACUUUGGACAUGUGGUUUUACCUGUGAACUAUCUAUUCUUGUCCUAUAAAGCUAAACCCGUCUUUUCCUGUAGGUGUGUCGUGAAAUUAACAAUUAAGGUGUAAU
rnacentral:lncRNA from 1 species